UAGGGAAUCUUCCGCAAUGGGCGAAAGCCUGACGGAGCAACGCCGCGUGAGUGAUGAAGGUCUUCGGAUCGUAAAACUCUGUUAUUAGGGAAGAACAAAUGUGUAAGUAACUAUGCACGUCUUGACGGUACCUAAUCAGAAAGCCACGGCUAACUACGUGCCAGCAGCCGCGGUAAUACGUAGGUGGCAAGCGUUAUCCGGAAUUAUUGGGCGUAAAGCGCGCGUAGGCGGUUUUUUAAGUCUGAUGUGAAAGCCCACGGCUCAACCGUGGAGGGUCAUUGGAAACUGGAAAACUUGAGUGCAGAGAAGGAAAGUGGAAUUCCAUGUGUAGCGGUGAAAUGCGCAGAGAUAUGGAGGAACACCAGUGGCGAAGGCGACUUUCUGGUCUGUAACUGACGCUGAUGUGCGAAAGCGUGGGGAUCAAACAGG
rnacentral:rRNA from 1 species